rnacentral:rRNA from 1 species
AUGCAUAUGGUAGCCACCGACCAGAGCAAGACGGCGACCAAGAGGUUCGGAUGGCUGUACGUGGCGCGGUGGGCGGCGGCGUCCGUGGUGACAGUGCUGGCCGUGGCAGUGAUCAUUCGGGCCGCGGUGCUGAUGCUCCGCCCCCAGAAGCUCCAGUUCAGGCUCUCCGGGGGCCAUGUGGCAGUCGACAGGAUCCCGUCGAUGCCGCCGCCUGACAACGUCGUGACGCUCACCUUCGUCUUCGUGGCCUACAACCCCAGCGGGCGCGCCCUCCGGCGAGUACAACAACAGACGAUCGUGAUGGUGGGGAUGACGCCGGGCGAGGACGUGCCGAUGCGGUACGUGCGGGCGCUCUUUGAGGGCCGCAGCGUCGAAGGCGUGGAGCUGAUGCUGAGCGGGGUCUUCGCCAGCCACGUAACGACGACGAUGGCCAGCGGGGAAGUCACGACCAGGUACCCCGCCACGUACUACUGCUGGCCGGUCACCAUCGCCGUCGGUGGCUCGUCGUCGUCGUCAUCGCCGGACUACACCAGCUUCGUCGUCACCGACGCGCCGUGCAUGGACGAGUCGGAGGCCCCGGCCAUCGUGUGA